rnacentral:rRNA from 1 species
GAUGAACGCUAGCGGGAGGCCUAACACAUGCAAGCCGAGCGGGAUUUGUGGUUAGCUUGCUAACUAACAAUGAGAGCGGCGUACGGGUGCGUAGCACGUGUGCAACCUGCCUUUAUCUGGGGGAUAGCCUUUCGAAAGGAAGAUUAAUACCCCAUAACAUAUUGAUUGGCAUCAGUUAAUAUUGAAAGCUCCGGCGGAUAGAGAUGGGCACGCGUAAGAUUAGCUAGUUGGUGAGGUAACGGCUCACCAAGGCUGCGAUCUUUAGGGGGCCUGAGAGGGUGAUCCCCCACACUGGUACUGAGACACGGACCAGACUCCUACGGGAGGCAGCAGUGAGGAAUAUUGGACAAUGGGUGAGAGCCUGAUCCAGCCAUCCCGCGUGAAGGACUAAGGACCUAUGGUUUGUAAACUUCUUUUAUACAGGGAUAAACCUACUCUCGUGAGGGUAGCUGAAGGUACUGUAUGAAUAAGCACCGGCUAACUCCGUG